UGGAAUGGUUUGUGACGCAAUUGUUAAAAACUUUACAUACGUUGUCAACCAGAAUGUAGGUAAUCCAAGUGGUAUUGAGGACGGCCUACAUGCAUCAAUAAAACACAUAUUUGGCGAACAUGAUAACUGCAAUGAAACUUGGUGUGGAUACCUUAAAGACAAGGAUUCCUAUAUCCAUUCAAAUCUUCCUUGUGGAAAAGACCUAUGUUCGUCUGAACACAGAUCAGAUCUUGAGAAACUGUUUAUUCAAAAAAUGGUUCCACAGUCUAAAAAGCUAUCUAACUUGGGCUCAUCACAGGCAAAUGAAAGCUUUAAUAACUUAAUUGCUCUCAAAGCUCUAAAAACCAAACAUUUCUCCACAUCAGCAUCUUUAAAUUACAGAGUCAGCUCAGCCGUACUCCAAAAGAAUGAGGGUUAUAAUUAUGUUGCUGAGUUAAACACAUCUAUAGGCCUGUCACCUGGAAAUGAGACCCUAAGCAGGGGUAAUAAAUUAAACAAGAAGAGAGAGGGCAACACAAACAGAUUAAAAAGCAAACAGGGAAAAAAACAACAUAAAGUUCUCAAAAAGAAACGCCUACAAAAAACAACAGUGGCUGAAGUCAAAGAAGGGAGAACAUACCACAGUUCAAUCGGGUUAGAAGAUUUUGCAACAAUAGACAUAGAAGAAAUACCUGCAGUUCCUGAAGCUGAAACCUUUACAACAUAGAUGAUGCACCAAUAGUUUGUUUUGAUUUAAAGACAAAUGGUUUAAGUAUAUAUUCUGAUAUAACCCAGAUAGCUGCAUGCACCAAAGACAGUUCCUUCAGUCGAUAUAUAUUUCCAGACCAACAAAUUUCAAGAGAAGCAUCAGAAAUAACAAAAAUCACUAUUGUAGGACAAAAAAUGUAUUACAAUGGUAAUGCUGUUGUUUAUAAGCAUAAACAUGAAAGAAUGACUGAUUUUUAACUUAUUUGUAUUUGUCAAGUUUCACAGAUAAACCUGUAUUGGUAGGACAUAAUAUAAAACGAUUUGACUGCCAUGUUUUAUUUCAUACUUUAAAAUCUAUGAAUAUGUACAGUGAACUAUGUGCAAGAACUGUUGCAUUUUUAGACUCUUUGAAUUUGUUUAAACUCGUUUCACCUGGCUUGUCAUCUUAUAGCCAGUCUUUUCUCGUUGAUAAACUAUUAGUCAACAGUAUGAAUCUCAUAAUGCUGUGUAUGACACAAAAUUACUUUUUAAUUUAGUCACUGAGAAAGGUAAUGUUUCUCAAUUUAUUAGUGAACUUGCUUUUUCACCUAGCUACCCUCAGUUAUACCAGAUGCAAUUGGCCAACUUGAAAACUUUUGAAGAGCUAGUUCAAUCAAAAUGUCUGUCAAAAGCUAUGGCACUAAAGACCAAAAGGUCUAACCUAAGGUUUCAACAUUUCCAAUUAGCAGUACAACGAAAUGACAUGGCAGGACUCAAAGCCUUAAUGACAGAAAAGUCUUCAACUGGGGUAGUUAGAGUGACAUCAAACAAAAUAAUUAUACAAAGAGUAUAUGAGUAUCUAAUUAGUCACAAGUAAAGGAAAAAUAUGUUUGUUAAGGUAGUCAGUCAGUGGUAAUACUUUAAGAGCAUAUGAUACAGUUACAUGGGAGGUCAUGAAGUUUUAACGUAAAAUAUUAUUCCUCCUGUAUGAUAAGAAUUAGAAAAUUGAUCGUUGUUAUGCAGAACUUUACCUUAACUAACCUUUUGUUGAAAUUCAUGAUCAGAGAUAAACAUUAAUGUGUACUGUAAAUUAGUGUAAAUGGUAGUGUGAGCCCUGCUGUAAUAUUUGUAAAUGUAUUGUAGAAAUAUCUUCAUGAUAUAAACCAAAUAGUUUUGAUAGUUAUACAACUUUAUAUGAACCUUGAAUUUUUUUAGAUAUCAAUUUUUUUAAGUUUGUGUAAUAAUUUAUUGUUGAUUGGAAAACCAUUUCUUACUGGAGGAGAUGCAUUUGAGUUUUUAAUGCAUACAUAAUCCAGUGAAGUAAUCUAUCCAGCUAUAACCCAAAUUUUGAUCAUAAAGAUAGACUGUAUGAACAUAGUAUGAUAAAUUUUGACUGUACAGUUUCUUGAAAAAAAGUUCAACUUGAGAUAAGAGUUUCAAAAUAUGUUGAGUUAACAGUUCUAUAAAUCUUAGUCUUUUCUGUGUUUUUUUAUAUAUAUUUUGGUGGAUUUUUUUUAUUGCUUGUACAGGCAAUUAGAACAAGUAUAUAGA